UCCAAUUAAGUUAUUUACAUUCUUAUAACAUUCUAUUAAUAGGAAUUACCGAAUACAUAUGACUGCCAUUAAUACUUAUAGUACUUUUAAAAAUAAAAUUUACUAAACGUUUAACUGAUUUUCUUUAUAACUAAUUAUUUUUACAGUACAAGAAAUUAUUUUUAAAAGAUACAAUUUUACCAAAUUGGCCCUUGUAGCAAUCAUCAACCAAUGACAAUCGGUCAUGUCAUGCUCGGUACUAACUACUAAGUGAAUUAAAUGGGCAAUUUAGCUUAGCUACGUACAACUUGGCUUGACCAUGAUGGCAUAGCCAUCUUCAUGUCAUGGCCAAUCUUUGUUAAAUUGUCAAUUGGUGCAAGCGGUUUUGGCUCCAUAUACUUGCUCGUCUAAAAUCUCAUGCUUAAUUAACUAGACAUCCACCACCAUGAGGUCACAACUAUUUAAAAAAAAAUUAUUUGCUUUAACAAUCUAUUUUCUUAUUUUUCCUCUUUUUUUUUUUGGUUAUCAUCAAAAAACGAAAAUGAUUAGAAGAAAGAAUAGAAAACAAAAAUCUCCAAUAAAGUGCCAGCUGUGAAAAUAACUUAAUAAUAGUAAACUACUUACAUGUCACCUCUGAAAAUUUUUACUUAGUUAGUCUAAAUUUCACUUUGUUUAUUUGUAAUAUUUGGUUAAAAGACACUCAUUUGCGUCCCUUCAACGAAGCCUACUGCUUGUAUCCUUUCUUUUUCUUAUCUUUGGUAGGGUCCCAAAUCCCUUCAAUAAGAUUGAUGCUUGCUCAUUUGGCUAAGUGUAAGGGGACAUACUCAUCAUGAUUAAUUGAAUCUCCCUUAUAAAUAAAAAGCAGAAACUAGUUUUCAAAGUGUUUCACUAAAUCAUCAUGACUGGCCCUAAACACCGUCCACGUACAUAAUUUUGAUGAGAUCACAUAUACGAUUUUUUGGGCUCCGCACACUUUAACUAGUGAACACAUUAACUACAAUGUUUAGAUUCAACCAUGCCAUUUUAAUCACAGUUGUCACAAGAAACCAUCAUAUUCUACUGUCAAAUCCAAAAUAUAUAUAAAUCAUUUUAAGGCCACAAAAGGGUCGCUUAGAGUAAUGGUUUGAUCAAUUAAGAAUCUUGGAAAAGGAAAAGACAACUUUUACAGAUCCCCAGUUUUGCGUUGGAGAUGAAAAGAAAAUGUAAUAGCUUACUACAAAAAGGAAAGGACGUGACAUUAUUAUAUUUCCAUGGGUUUUUAUUAAAUGAUUUUAAGAAUAUUCUUUUAAGGGACAGAGCAAAUCUUUUACAAAUCCCUAACCUUAUGUGUUGAAGAUCUUGCAGAAAUGAUUCCAACCAACUUGCCGCUCGUCCAUUGUUGCAGUCUAUUCUUUCUAUAACUAUUGAUUAAUAUAGGGGUGGGCAAGAAAGAAAAAAAGAUGAUUAAUGAUUAUAUUAACUUUGUUACAUAAAAAUAUCAUCUUAGAUUCCAAAAAUGCCAGCCAAAAUUGUUUGGAAAAGAGAUGUACAUGGUCCUAGCUAGUUGUGUGACACAGUGUGCCAAAUUACUUUACAAGAUUUGGGAAUAUUUUAUCUAUCAACAGAUGUGUAUUGCCAUUAAACCAAACUUUUAAAAAAAAUUCAUGCAUGAGAGCCUAGCUAGGACCAUGUAUAAUGUUUUUAUAAUCUUUAUCUAUUGGAUUCUCAUAGAUCAUAUAUAUUACUUUCUAAUCAUUGAUUAAAAUGUAACGUGUUAAGAGUGUCAAGAAUUCAAUGCAUAGUAGUAUACAUUGAGAAUACUCAUCUAUACACAAAAUAUAUGUAUAAUUGUAUAGUACUAAAUGAAUUUAAAUAUUUUUAUAACCUGAUCUUUUCCUAAACAGAUGUGAUUUUUCUUAUGAAGUAUAUUACUAUAUUUUGUGAGAGAAAAAAAAAGACAUAAUAAAUCAAUAUUUUUUUUUCCUUGUGAGGUAUUAGCAUCAACUAUUCAAAAUUAUAUUAAACGAGCGAGACUAGAUGCCUCUUCAAACCCCUUCUCUUUAAUAACCUCAAUAAAAAUAUUUCAAAAUGGUUACCUUUGAUGGUGAUUUUGUUAUCGUCAAACCCUAUGGUUUCUUUAAUUUCCUUUUGUUCAUAAAUUUUUUUAUCUUUUUCAUUUUUCAAUAAAAAACUUUCAU
rnacentral:lncRNA from 1 species